rnacentral:rRNA from 1 species
GUAAGGGAUCUUGCGCAAUGGGCGGAAGCCUGACGCAGCAACGCCGCGUGCCCGAGGAAGGCCUUCGGGUCGUAAAGGGCUUUUGUGGGAGAAGAGGAAGGACGGUAUCCCGGGAAAAAGUGUCGGCUAACUACGUGCCAGCAGCCGCGGUAAAACGUAGGACGCGAGCGUUAUCCGGAGUGACUGGGCGUAAAGCGCGGGCAGGCGGGGGCACAAGUUGGGUGUGAAAUAUCCCGGCUCAACCGGGGGGGGCCACUCAAAACUGUGUUUCUGGAGGGCAGCAGAGGUGCGUGGAAUUCCGGGUGGAGUGGUGAAAUGCGUAGAGAUCCGGAGGAACACCAGAGGCGAAAGCGGCGCACCGGGCUGUGACUGACGCUGAACCGCGAAAGCCAGGGGAGCGAACGGGAUUAGAAACCCCGGUAGUCC